rnacentral:rRNA from 1 species
GGAGGAAGCAGGGGAUCGAAAGACCUUGCGCUAAAGGAGCGGCUGAUGUCUGAUUAGCUAGUUGGUGAGGUAAAGGCUCACCAAGGCAACGAUCAGUAGCUGGUCUGAGAGGACGGCCAGCCACACUGGGACUGAGACACGGCCCAGACUCCUACGGGAGGCAGCAGUGGGGAAUUUUGGACAAUGGGCGAAAGCCUGAUCCAGCCAUGCCGCGUGAGUGAAGAAGGCCUUCGGGUUGUAAAGCUCUUUUAGUCGGAAAGAAAAGAUUGUGAUAAAUAAUCAUGAUUUAUGACGGUACCGACAGAAAAAGCACCGGCUAACUACGUGCCAGCAGCCGCGGUAAUACGUAGGGUGCAAGCGUUAAUCGGAAUUACUGGGCGUAAAGGGUGCGCAGGCGGUUUUGCAAGUCAGAUGUGAAAUCCCCGGGCUUAACCUGGGAAUUGCGUUUGAAACUACAAGGCUAG